rnacentral:snoRNA from 1 species
UGGUCAUUACCAAAGCUUUUAGAAUGCAGUUUCGGAUUUGCUGUGGAGUUGACCAUAAAAAAAAAAAAAAAUCCCCACUGGGCUUUCUUUUUGCUACCUUGCUAGCAUCAGUCUGUUGGGAACAUUC